rnacentral:rRNA from 1 species
UACGUAGGGUGCGAGCGUUGUCCGGAAUUACUGGGCGUAAAGAGCUCGUAGGUGGUUUGUCGCGUUGUUCGUGAAAACUCACAACUCAAUUGUGGGCGUGCGGGCGAUACGGGCAGACUGGAGUACUGCAGGGGAGACUGGAAUUCCUGGUGUAGCGGUGGAAUGCGCAGAUAUCAGGAGGAACACCAACAGCGAAGGCAGAUCUCUGGGACGUUACUGACGCUGAGACGCGAAAGCGUGGGGAGCGAACAGG